CAACUCGUUUUUUCUUCUUCUUGUU
rnacentral:sRNA from 1 species